rnacentral:lncRNA from 1 species
UUGUGGGCUGCUUGAUAGUGGUAACUCCAGUGAGAUACAGUAUAAAUGACUCCAGAAGCUCUCUGAACUGUGGGCAUAGGAAGGAUGUCUGGAAUAAACUGAGAGUGUUUUCAAGACGUAGUGCUGCGUUGUGGUGGUACCCUCUGGCCAGGGAUGAGUAUAGUCCUUAAGGCCAAUUCUCGCCACCAGCUCUUGGACUGCAAAGACCAAUGGCGGAACACCAAGAUAUCAAAACUAAAUGUGAGCAAGAGGCAGAUCACCUAUGUGCACCUUGACCAUAGUGACCGUUGAUGGUGUUUGAGUCGUCGCAGACCCUGCUGGCGUUGUGUGCGUGCGGUGGUUCUGGGACCUGGCGUUCCGGCGUUCCCCAUCUCGCGUGUGCUGACCUCCCAAAACGAAAGGAUGUUUGGAGGUGGAAGGUGCCGUGCCAAGGCGAGCGAUGCGGCACGGCCCCUCGAGCAUUCCCUCCUCCCACAUCUGGCCUGCUGUUCCCCACCGCUGGAUUUCGCCCGUGGCCAAAGCGCCGAGAACAAUGAGGCGAAGUGAGAAAGUCCUCCCCGCUCCCCCGCCAGAUGGCUCUCACGCCGCUUGCAUUUUGCUCCAAACGGCCGGUAAAUGCGCUGUGAGCACUUGGUGAGUUUACGAGGGACCUGAGCCUUCGCCGUCGCCCGCUUUCGGGAAGGCGCAGCAUGAGCUCCCGCCUGCUGCCAAUGCCCCUUUUCGGCAGCACCCCCCGCGCUUGCCGGGGUGUCCUGGGGCGGGAGGUCUGGC